GGAUUAUGYUAAAAAUCAAAGAAUUUGGCGGUAUUCUAACCUAAUAGAGGAACUUGGCCUGUAAUCGAUGAACCACGUUUUAUCUUACCUUUACUAAAGUUUGUAUACCGUUGUUGUCAGAUUACUUUAUAAUAAGUGAUAAGUUUUCUAAAUAGAAUUAGUCUUYUAUAACUUCAAAUCAAGGUGCAGUUAAUGUAGGGGUAGAGCUGAGUUACUUUUAUUAAGAUAUAGAUUAUACAUUGAAAAUUUGUUUGAGAGAGGAUUUAUUAGUAAAUUUUUAUUAAUUAGAGUUAUUGAAAAGGGGUCUAGAAUAUGCACAAAUCGCCCGUCACUCUGGCUUUAAUGUCAGAUAAGUCGUAACAAAGUAGAUGUAAGGGAACUUGUAUCUAGUUGA
rnacentral:rRNA from 1 species